CUGGGAAAUAUCAAUAGUUAUUAAUUGAGAAAUAUCACAAAACUCUCAUCUUUCCCCCACUCUUGUCUUUCCCCCAGUUACAUUACGUUGAUUGAAUGUUUUAUGUAGUAAAUAUCCGUUUCAGAGUUGUACAUAAACUGUUUAUUGAUCUGUACUAUUUAUCGUUUUUCCUCCUUUAUUAUUUUACAAGACGGAAAAUUCCUGUUUUGAAUUUACAUCAUUGGUACGGAUUUCAAUCGAUAAGAAAAAGUAUCAUUUUUCAUUGACGUAGUAGAUUCUUACACUAACUUUUUUCUGAUAGUAGUAUAUUUUUUUCUGAGCAUAAGGAAUUAAUUAAAAUUUUAUGGUGGAUGAACAGAAUGAACUGUAUACAUUAGUUAGUAAACUUUUGAUGAAUUCAAUAUUUUUAUUGGCUUCUGUGAAUUUACGUUUCUUUAUAUGGAGAAAUAAUAUUGCACGCGAAAUAGUAAUGACCAUUCUAUCUCUAGGCAUUCUCAGAGAUAGAUGUGUCAUGCAUUUACUACUGCGUGCUAUACAUUUGUAUGGCACGCAUUGGUACUAACAAUACAGUUCGUCAACCCAGAAAGUGCAAAUAAGGUAACGGAUAUCGUGAGUUAGCUAUGCCAUACCUUAGGAUGAAGAGUUGAUACUAUUUUAUAAAGAAAGAUAUUACAAGCGAACUAAUAAUAAUCACUAGGUUUCUAUUCGCUGACAUGGAAAUGUAUCUUAAGGCGAACACAUUUUUCUUAACUUAGACAAGCUGCAUGAAUGUAAUAAAUGUUGCUCGACUGAAUGGAGAAUUGCAACUACUAAAGUAUUAAAAAUUUCAUCAUCAGUUCUAACAGAAAAAAAAAAGUCAUAAAAGUGAG
rnacentral:lncRNA from 1 species